rnacentral:rRNA from 1 species
AUUGAACGCUGGCGGCAGGCCUAACACAUGCAAGUCGAGCGGAUGAGUGGAGCUUGCUCCAUGAUUCAGCGGCGGACGGGUGAGUAAUGCCUAGGAAUCUGCCUGGUAGUGGGGGACAACGUUUCGAAAGGAACGCUAAUACCGCAUACGUCCUACGGGAGAAAGCAGGGGACCUUCGGGCCUUGCGCUAUCAGAUGAGCCUAGGUCGGAUUAGCUAGUAGGUGAGGUAAUGGCUCACCUAGGCGACGAUCCGUAACUGGUCUGAGAGGAUGAUCAGUCACACUGGGACUGAGACACGGUCCAGACUCCUACGGGAGGCAGCAGUGGGGGAUAUUGGACAAUGGGCGAAAGCCUGAUCCAGCCAUGCCGCGUGUGUGAAGAAGGUCUUCGGAUUGUAAAGCACUUUAAGUUGGGAGGAAGGGCAGUAAGUUAAUACCUUGCUGUUUUGACGUUACCAACAGAAUAAGCACCGGCUAACUUCGUGCCAGCCGCCGCAGUAAGAC